rnacentral:tRNA from 1 species
GCAGGCGUGGCCGAGUGGUUAAAGGCAGCAGACUGUAAAUCUGCCGGCAUAUUGCCUACGGUGGUUCGCACCCAUCCGCCUGCACCA